AAUGUUCAACGUCCUCCUGGGAUACGGAAGGCACCGUGAUAGACAUCUGGGCAAGUCAACAGGAAGGUGGAUAUCCAAAUCUCUCUCUUCGCAAUGAGUUUCCAGUUAGAUGGAGGAGAGAGUAAUAAAACACAGAGCUGAGAUUCCUGACUUCACAGAUCCCUGAGGAGAUGUUUACUAAAGGGAAUCUUCUGGUCACUGUUACCUUCCUCCGUACUUACCUGCCUCAUGGAUAACACUGAAGAAUGCAGUUUACUUACAUCUUUUUCUGUUUGACAGAAGACAGUUAUUAGAACCCGAAAGGAAGAAGCUAUACGACUGGGGACACAUGUCUUAGAAGCACACUCAUUAGAUAAAGUGUCGCAUACUCUUUGAUAAGGUAAGGCUCCCUGGACGAGAUGUUUUACAGGUACCAUGAGCUCAGUGAAUUGCUUUUGGAAAGACACUCAGCGGAGUGGGCACCACGAGGUUAGGAGAAGCAGCUUCUGCUCGUCAUAACUUUGGCAAAUGUUUACACAUCAGUAAUGAAAAAUAUUCUCUUGGCGAUUUCAGGCUUGUUACUAUGGAUGUUGUUUGCUAACAUUGACUAUUUUUCCUAACUGCUUAUAGAAACUCCAGGCUGUCACCCAUCUGUUCUCUCAUCAAAGUAGUUUUGGGCCAGCAACUAUUUCAGACAUUUCUACAGUUUCAGAUGUCUCACUCUGCCUAUGACUGUAUGUUGUACUUGAGGACUGGACGCACAGGGUAAAGUGCAAAUAGCAAGCAUUCAGGUCCAACUCUCCUCCUUCUGGUUAACAAUAUGAAAGAAAGAGGUAGUAUCGGAAUUAUUUUAGUUCAAUGUAGCCAUUAUAAAAUGUGUAUAUAUUUUAAAACAUCAUGUGGUACAUGAUAAAUAUAUACAACUUUUAUUUUUCAAUAAAAAAUUAUAAAAAAAGUCAUCAAACCUGAUUUCUCAUACUACUUUUUUGGUAACACUCAUCACACCAAAGACUUAUUAUUUUAAAAUGUUAUUUUUCAUAAUUAAUUUCUUAUUAAUUUUAUAGGCUAGAUUUUAAUUGUUAUGUCUAAAUAGUAGUGUCUGGUACGUGGUAGAUAAUCAAUGUGACUUGAAUAAAUGAAUAAGUCUGUUAACGA
rnacentral:lncRNA from 1 species